rnacentral:rRNA from 1 species
GACGAACGCUGGCGGCGUGCUUAACACAUGCAAGUCGAACGGAAAGGCCCUGCUUUUGUUUGUUUCUCGAUUGGCGAACGUGUGAGUAACACGUGAGUAACCUUCCCUUGACUUUGUGAUAUCUUCUGGAAACUCGGGCUCAUACCCCCUAGUAUCUCCUGCUGCAUUUUGUUGUUUGGUAAGUUUCGGCGUUUGGGGAUGUUCUCGCUGCUUAUCCGCUUGUUGGUGGGGUAGUGUCUUACCAAGGCUUUGACGGGUAGCCGGCCUGAGAGGGUGACCGGCCACAUGGGGACUGAGAGACGGCGCAGACUCCUACGGGAGGCAGCAGGGGGGAAUAUGGCAGAAUGGGCGGAAGCCUGAUGCAGCAACGCCGCGUGCGGGAUGACGGCCUUCGGGUUGUAAACCGCUUUGGCCUGUGACGAAGAGUGAGUGACGGUAAUGGGUAAAGAAGCACCGGCUAACUACGUG